rnacentral:tRNA from 2 species
GGGGCAGUAGGGUAGCCUGGUUAUCCUCGGGCCUUUGGGAGGCCUGGACCGCAGUUCAAAUCUGCGCUGCCCCA